AGUUUGAUCCUGGCUCAGGAUGAACGCUAGCUACAGGCUUAACACAUGCAAGUCGAGGGGCAGCAUUUUAGUUUGCUUGCAAACUGAAGAUGGCGACCGGCGCACGGGUGAGUAACACGUAUCCAACCUGCCGAUAACUCGGGGAUAGCCUUUCGAAAGAAAGAUUAAUAUCCGAUAGUAUAUUAAAACCGCAUGGUUUUACUAUUAAAGAAUUUCGGUUAUCGAUGGGGAUGCGUUCCAUUAGUUUGUUGGCGGGGUAACGGCCCACCAAGACUACGAUGGAUAGGGGUUCUGAGAGGAAGGUCCCCCACAUUGGAACUGAGACACGGUCCAAACUCCUACGGGAGGCAGCAGUGAGGAAUAUUGGUCAAUGGACGAGAGUCUGAACCAGCCAAGUAGCGUGAAGGAUGACUGCCCUAUGGGUUGUAAACUUCUUUUAUAUGGGAAUAAAGUAUUCCACGUGUGGGAUUUUGUAUGUACCAUAUGAAUAAGGAUCGGCUAACUCCGUGCCAGCAGCCGCGGUAAUACGGAGGAUCCGAGCGUUAUCCGGAUUUAUUGGGUUUAAAGGGAGCGUGGGUGGAUUGUUAAGUCAGUUGUGAAAGUUUGCGGCUCAACCGUAAAAUUGCAGUUGAAACUGGCAGUCUUGAGUACAGUAGAGGUGGGCGGAAUUCGUGGUGUAGCGGUGAAAUGCUUAGAUAUCACGAAGAACUCCGAUUGCGAGGGCAGCUCACUAGACUGCAACUGACACUGAUGCUCGAAAGUGUGGGUAUCAAACAGGAUUAGAUACCCUGGUAGUCCACACAGUAAACGAUGAAUACUCGCUGUUUGCGAUAUACAGUAAGCGGCCAAGCGAAAGCAUUAAGUAUUCCACCUGGGGAGUACGCCGGCAACGGUGAAACUCAAAGGAAUUGACGGGGGCCCGCACAAGCGGAGGAACAUGUGGUUUAAUUCGAUGAUACGCGAGGAACCUUACCCGGGCUUAAAUUGCAAAUGAAUAAUCUGGAAACAGGUUAGCCGCAAGGCAUUUGUGAAGGUGCUGCAUGGUUGUCGUCAGCUCGUGUCGUGAGGUGUCGGCUUAAGUGCCAUAACGAGCGCAACCCUUAUCUUUAGUUACUAACAGGUCAUGCUGAGGACUCUAGAGAGACUGCCGUCGUAAGAUGUGAGGAAGGUGG
rnacentral:rRNA from 1 species